CUACUUAUCUGGCAGGGGUGAUACCAUGAUUGUGGCAAUCUCCUCUGAAGCCCCUAUUCCCUCAGGUCUUCACGUUUUCCCAGGUUGAGGCUCACCCAUUGCACUUUGGGUAUGCUGAUCCCUAUGAUUUCCCCAAAUGUGGGAAACUUGACUGCAUAAUUUGUGAUAGUUGGGGACUGU
rnacentral:snRNA from 1 species